GAUGAACGCUGGCGGCGUGCUUAACACAUGCAAGUCGAACGAAGCAUUUGCGACAGAUUUUUUCGGAAUGAAGUUGCUUAUGACUGAGUGGCGGACGGGUGAGUAACGCGUGGGUAACCUGCCUUGUACUGGGGGAUAGCAGCUGGAAACGGCUGGUAAUACCGCAUAAGCGCACAAUGUUGCAUGACAUGGUGUGAAAAACUCCGGUGGUAUAAGAUGGACCCGCGUCUGAUUAGCUAGUUGGUGAGAUAACAGCCCACCAAGGCGACGAUCAGUAGCCGACCUGAGAGGGUGAUCGGCCACAUUGGGACUGAGACACGGCCCAGACUCCUACGGGAGGCAGCAGUGGGGAAUAUUGCACAAUGGAGGAAACUCUGAUGCAGCGACGCCGCGUGAGUGAAGAAGUAAUUCGUUAUGUAAAGCUCUAUCAGCAGGGAAGAUAGUGACGGUACCUGACUAAGAAGCUCCGGCUAAAUACGUGCCAGCAGCCGCGGUAAUACGUAUGGAGCAAGCGUUAUCCGGAUUUACUGGGUGUAAAGGGAGUGUAGGUGGCCAUGCAAGUCAGAAGUGAAAAUCCGGGGCUCGACCCCGGAACUGCUUUUGAAACUGUAAGGCUGGAGUGCAGGAGGGGUGAGUGGAAUUCCUAGUGUAGCGGUGAAAUGCGUAGAUAUUAGGAGGAACACCAGUGGCGAAGGCGGCUCACUGGACUGUAACUGACACUGAGGCUCGAAAGCGUGGGGAGCAAACAGGAUUAGAUACCCUGGUAGUCCACGCCGUAAACGAU
rnacentral:rRNA from 1 species